rnacentral:lncRNA from 1 species
UGGCCUCUAGGGGGAAGAAGAGACUCCCUGCUGCAAGUAUAACAGGGUCAGCCCUAGGAAAAUUACUUCAGAAGACUGGUGCUUUGAAUUCCCUUCUCUUGAUGCAGGAUGAAUGGUCUCACCAAGAAUGACAUCCCUACAGAUUAUGCCCAUUAUAAGUAUGAAGGACAGUGGAGAGGUGACCCAACCCAACUGGACGGAGAAGCCGGACACUUGACAUCCAGAAGUGUAUUGUUUUAAGAGCUGGGCAAGAUACUGACCUGAAAACACAAGACAACAAGGUGCCUUUCAUCGCAAUCUCUACA